rnacentral:rRNA from 1 species
UGAAGCCAGAACGCCGCGUGAAGGAAACGGCCUUCGGGUUGUAAACCUCUUUCAUAAGGGAAGAAGGGAAAGUGACGGUACGUGCAGAAAAAGAACCGGCUAACUACGUGCCGGCCCUCGCGGUAAUACGUAGGGUGCAAGCGUUGUCCGGAAUUAUUGGGCGUAUCAUCUCGUAGGCGGCUUGUCGCGUCUGCUGUUAAAACCCUAGGAUCUACCUCGGGCCUGCAGUGGGUACGGGCAAGCUAGAUUGUCUGAGGGGAGAUUGGAAUUCCUGAUGUAGCGUUGUAAUGCCUGGAUUUCCGGAGGACUUCCCAAUGUUUAAGCAGAUCUCUGGGC